rnacentral:rRNA from 1 species
GGCCGACAGGCGUAGUCGAUGGACAACGGGUUGAUAUUCCCGUACCGGCAUUGAUGCGACCAUGCUGAACCUGGUUCGUGCUAACCGUCCGAUCUGCAUUCGACUUUCGGGUUGGGUGUGGGGAGCGCGGGAUCCCGGCUGGUAGUAGGCAA